GCCCGCUUAGCUCAGUGGUAGAGCGCGCCACUCGUAUAAGCCUCUGGUGAUAUGGUGAGGUCGGUUGUUCAAACCAGCCAGCGGGCA